rnacentral:rRNA from 1 species
UACGUAGGUGGCAAGCGUUGUCCGGAUUUACUGGGCGUAAAGAGCGCGCAGGCGGUCGUUCAAGUCGCGUGUGAAAGCCCCCGGCUCAACUGGGGAGGGUCACGCGAUACUGAUCGACUCGAAGGCAGGAGAGGGUAGUGGAAUUCCCGGUGUAGUGGUGAAAUGCGUAGAUAUCUGGAGGAACACCGGUGGCGAAGGCGGCAUCCUGGACCGGUAUUGACGCUGAGGCGCGAAAGCCAGGGGAGCAAAGCGGG